rnacentral:rRNA from 1 species
GACGUAGGGUGCGAGCGUUGUCCGGAUUUAUUGGGCGUAAAGAGCUCGUAGGCGGCUCGUCGCGUCGACCGUGAAAACCCGCAGCUUAACUGCGGGCUUGCGGUUGAUACGGGCGGGCUAGAGUUCGGUAGGGGAGACUGGAAUUCCUGGUGUAGCGGUGAAAUGCGCAGAUAUCAGGAGGAACACCGGUGGCGAAGGCGGAUCUCUGGGCCGAUACUGACGCUGAGGAGCGAAAGCGUGGGGAGCGAACAGG